CUUCUCUCAGAGUCACAGCUGGAGAGCUCCCAGUAGUCUACCAGUCUCGACUACAGGAGGGAGAGUCAGGCAGAGGCAUAUCCAUUCCAUUCCUAGCUUGGGCAGUGGCUAGCAAGUGGAAGGCAAUCUGCUACAAGU
rnacentral:snoRNA from 2 species